GAGAGUUAAAUAGUACGUGAAAUUGUUGAAAGGGAAACGAUUGAAGUCAGUCAUGCUAGUGAAAAUUCAGUUUGACGGGAUUUUGCUUUGGGUGUUAGGAUAGAUCCUUAUCUUGAAGUCGAAUCUUGUCGGAUGCAUUUUUUCUUUGGCAGGUCAGCGUCGAUUUCGGGGGUUGUAAAAUACUUGGGGGAAAGUAGCUCUGCUUCGGGAGAGUGUUAUAGACCUUGGGAGAUGCAGCCCGUGGGAUCGAGGAUUGCAGCAAAUGCCUUUGGCUUGUCUUCUGAUCUUUGGUUGUUACCUCGUUUAUGACAACAUUCUUGUCAUCGAUGAGUUCUAAUGGUUAUGGGUUAGAAUGAUCAAAAAUUUGCUAAGGAUGCUGACGUAAUGGCUUUAAACGA
rnacentral:rRNA from 1 species